rnacentral:rRNA from 1 species
AAAUUGAAGAGUUUGAUCAUGGCUCAGAUUGAACGCUGGCGGCAGGCCUAACACAUGCAAGUCGAACGGUAACAGAAAGCAGCUUGCUGCUUUGCUGACGAGUGGCGGACGGGUGAGUAAUGUCUGGGAAACUGCCUGAUGGAGGGGGAUAACUACUGGAAACGGUAGCUAAUACCGCAUAACGUCGCAAGACCAAAGAGGGGGACCUUCGGGCCUCUUGCCAUCGGAUGUGCCCAGAUGGGAUUAGCUUGUUGGUGGGGUAACGGCUCACCAAGGCGACGAUCCCUAGCUGGUCUGAGAGGAUGACCAGCCACACUGGAACUGAGACACGGUCCAGACUCCUACGGGAGGCAGCAGUGGGGAAUAUUGCACAAUGGGCGCAAGCCUGAUGCAGCCAUGCCGCGUGUAUGAAGAAGGCCUUCGGGUUGUAAAGUACUUUCAGCGGGGAGGAAGGGAGUAAAGUUAAUACCUUUGCUCAUUGACGUUACCCGCAGAAGAAGCACCGGCUAACUCCGUGCCAGCAGCCGCGGUAAUACG